GCUGCCCUCCCAGGCCCCGGGAAGGCCGGCCGGCAGGGGCGGGGGCAGGAGUCGCCGACUCUGGGGUUGCUCCGAGCUCGUGCUGCGGUCCCACUGUGCGCCCUGUCGCCGCCACUGCGGAAGACGUCUUGCACGUGCGAGGGGCAUUUCAGGAGUUUCCUGUCUGUCAGGGUUUUCCCAAGCUCAGCGGAUUGUUCUUGCUGGGAUCUCUCCUGUGAUUACAGUCAAAUGAGAGCUGGCUGGAUUCUUCACUGAGUCUCCCUUACUCCUGUGGCUGGAGGCUGAUGCUGGCUGUCAGCUGGGACCUCAGCUGAGGCUGUUAGCCAGAACCCCUACAUGUGGUCUCUCCAUGGGGCCUGGACUCUCUCACAGCAUGGUGGCUGGUUGCAAGGACAAGCAUCCCAAGAGAGAGCAGGAGAAAGUUGUCUCGCCUUUUGAAAACUGGCUUCGCAAGGCCCAUAGCAGAUCUUCCCCUGUGCUCCACUAGUUGAGACAGUCACGAAGCCCCACCCAGUUUCAAAGAAGGGGACAGAGACUCCAUUUCCUGAUGUGUGAGUGGCAAGGUUCUGGAAGAGUAUGUGGAAUGGAAAGUAUUAUUGCAACCAUUUGGGGAAAAUACAACUUGCUGCUGGCAGGAAGGUCAUUUCAGGCGGAGAUCUUCAUUGAUGGUACCUUCAGAAAUGCAUUUUUAGGAAAGAAAGUGGUUUUUACAGACUUGGCAUUGCUAAGGGAAAACACAAGAUUUUAGAAGUAUUUACUGAGCCAUCUUCACCAAGACUUAAGAGAAACAUUUCUUUGAAGAGAAUAUGCUGAGGAAGAGGGAGAUGACAUUUGAAGUGGACUCCAAGGGGCAGACAGGAGGCUGGGAUGGAUGGCAGCUCACAGCUGGCAAAGGCAGUGGACUAGCAAUCAUGGGUAAAGGCCUACCAAGACUGAUUCUUAGAGGGGGGAGAAUUGACUUUGUGUUCUUAUAGCAAGUGGCCAGGAAUAACCAGAUGCUGUGUCCAAGCUGAGUCCUCAAAAACAGUAGUAGGCAGGGGCCAAACCAGAAAGCAACAGUUAACAAAAACUGUAUUGUAGCAAGAGAGAUAAGAUAAGCGCACAAGUGUAACCACCCAACGGGUUCACCUUGUCUGCUGCCUAGACAGAGCCGAUUUAUCCAGACAGGAGAAUAGCAAUGGAGAAAGUAAUUCACGCAGACCCGGCUGUGCAGGAGACUGGAGUUUUAUUAUUACUCAAAUCAGUCUCUCCGAGCAUUCAGGGAUCAGAGUUUUAAUUUGGCAAGUAGGGGCUUGGGAAGUGGGGAGUGCUAAUUGCUCAGGUUGGAGAUGGAAUCAUAGAGGGUCGAAGUGAGUUUUUUGUGCUAUUUUCUGUUCCUUGGUGGGAUGGCAGAACUGGUUGAGCCAGAUUACAGUUCUGGGUUGUGUCAGCUGAUCCACCCAGAGUGUAGGGUCUGCAAGAUAUCUCAAGCACUGAUCUUAGGUUUUACAACAGUAGUGUUAUCCCUAGGAACAAUUUAAGAAGGUUCAGAUUCUUGGAGCCAGAGACUGUGUGACCCCUAAACUGUAAUUUCGAAUCUUGUAGCUAAUUUGUUAGCCCUGCAAAGGCAGACUGGUCCCCAGGCAAGAAGAGGGUCUUUUUGGGAAAGGUCUAUUAUUAAUUUUGUUUUAGAGUCAAAUCAUGAACUGAAUUCCUUCAGGGCCAAGUUAUUUCCACCUAUGCCCAGGAAUGAACAAGGACAGCUUAAAGGUUAGAAGCAAAAUGGUUAGGUAGGUCUGAUUUCUUUACUGUCAUAAUUUCCUCAGUUAUAAUUUUGCAAAGGCAGUUUCACAAGCAACCACAAGGCAUAGCAGCUAUCAUUUGGGGGUAAUACAGGGAAGCAGGGAGCAGUCAUCAUGCAUGAGCAAGAGCUGGGUCAGAGAUAAGACACAGCCCCAGGUUAGAAGGCAGCUUCACAGAGAUGAAUAGGGAGUGAGAUCAAGGACCACAGCAGAGGUUGACAGCCCAAGGCCCUUGAUGGCACUAUGACCUGAAUGUCCAGGAUCUUCCAUGUCAACCACCAACUUUAUAGGAAAGGGUGCAUGAGCCAGGAAUAAUGGUGGUCAAGCUUGGCUGUGUGGGAAAUAGGGAGUUUGCCUACCUGGCAUCUGCUGAGUGUCUCAGUAGUGAGCUUCCAGCUACACAAUAUCUGGACCCUGAGACCCAAAGAGGAAGGAGACUUUGGCUUCCUUUACUAUGGGCAUUCUGUGACCCACCCUGGCGAUGAAAAGGACUAAAGAACUACAAGAUAUUAAAUCUACCUUAUGUUUUUCACUUGCUUAUGAGCACUGGAGCUCCAUCACCUGAGCCCCCACUAAGUGCAGAUGUAUGUGACUUUAGAAAGGUUAGAUUUACUCUUCGUAGCUCAGGGUAUAAAGAAGUGGUCCCAAUAAAAGUUUCCUUUGCUACAGGGGGCUGAGGACAAUCAUGAGGUUGUGAACUCUUUGAGGACAGGAUUAGAUCUUGGUCAAUAUCUGUAUGCUCAGUGCCUAGGGUAGCAUCUAGUUCAUGCAAGGAAGGAAAGGAGAGAGGAAGGAAGGAAGGAAGGAAGGAAGGAAGGAAGGAAGGAAGGAAGGAAGGAAGGAAAGGAGGGAGUGGGGGAGAGGGAGGGAGGGAGGAGAGUCAGAUAAUACAGAGAGGCCAUACCAUGAAUUCUUAGUCAUACCUGACCUGGCCACUCCAGGAGCACCAGAAGAGUUGCUGGAAGCCCACAUAGACAUAUGGUAUAUGAUAACAUUUUUUUUUAAAGAGAUAUAAUUCACAUGUCAUAUGAUUUGCCCUUUUAAAGUGUACAUUUCAAUGGUUUUUGGUAUAUUUACAGUUUUGCAAUCAUCGCCACAGACCAUUUUAGAACGUUUUAUUAACCUAAUAAGAAAGCCUGUACCCAUUUGCAAUCACUCCUGCCUUUUCCUGCAACAUCCCUAGCAACUGAAACUGUCUUUGCAAAAAUUACAGCAAUGAGAAAAUUAUCACAGUGAAAGAGAUCCGACCUAACUGACUCCAUCUUGCUUCUAAUCUCCAAGCUGCUCUUGUUCAUUCCUGGGCGGAGGCUAAACUAACUUUGGGAGGAAUUCAGCUUAUAACUUAACUUUGAAGCAAAGAUGAAAACAGCCUUUUCCCUUAACACAGCCCCUUCUUGCUUGGGGACCAGACUGCUUGCGUAGCACUAACAAAUUAGCCUCAAAAUUAAUGCUGACAGUCCGGGCGCACAGUGGCUCAGGCCUGUAAUCCCAGCACUUUGGGAGGCCGAGGUGGGCAGAUCACCUGAGGUCAGGAGUUGGAGACCAGCCUGCCCAACAUGGUGAAACCCUGUCUCUACUAAAAUUACAAAAAUUAGCUGGGAGUGGUGGCGGGGGCCUGUAGUCCCAGCUACUCGGGAGGCUGAGGCAGGAGAAUCGCUUGAACCCAGGAGGCGGAGGCUGCAGCGAGCCAAGAUCGUGCCACUGCAUUCCAGCCUGGGCGACAGAGUGAGACUCAGUCUCAAAAGAUUAAUGCAGACAGGCCACGAGAUUUUGAACCUCCCCCAUUGCUCCGAAAGAUAACAUCACUAUUGUAAAACCUAAGAUCAGUGCUCCAUUUUUCACACUGCAUUCUGAUGCACCAGCUGGCCCCACCCAGAGCGGUAAUCUGGCUCAACCAGUUCUGGGAUCUCACCCAGGAACAGAGGACAGGAAGAAAAAUCCCACUUUGACCCCCUAUGAUUUCAUCGCUGACCCAGCCAAUCAGCAUUCCCCACUUCCUGGCCCCCUACACACCAAAUUAUCCUUAAAAAUUCCAGUCUCCAAAUUUUCCAGGAGACUGGUUUGAGUAAUAAUAAAGCUUCUAUCUCUCCUUCACCAAGUUUUUGUAAAUUAAACUCUUCAUUGCAACUCCCCUGUCUUGAUAAAUCUGCUCUGUCUGCGUAUCGGGCAAGGAGAAGCCAUUGGGUGGUUACACGAGUACUUAUCCACUUUAUGUUUCUAUAAAUUUGCCUGUUCCCUGUUCCGAUUUUUUUUUUUUUUUUUUUUUUUUUUUUUUUUGAGACAGGGCCUGGCUCUGUCACCCAGGCUGGAGCACAGUGGCGCAAUCACGGCUCACUGCAGCCUCUACUUCCUGGCCUCUAGCAAUCCUCCUGCCUCAGUACCCUCUACCCCCUUGCCCAGUAGCUGUGACUACAGGUGCAGGCCACCAAGUCUGGCUAAUUUUUAUGUAUUUUUUGUAGAGAUGGGGUUUCGCCUUGCUGCCCAGGCUGGUCUCAAACUCCUGGACUCAAGUGAUCAGCCCAUCUAGGCCUCCCAAACUGCUGGGACUAUAGGUGUGAGCCACCGCGCCUGGCCUGAACAUUUCACAUAAAUGUUACCAUACAAUAUGUGGUCUUUUGUGUCUAGUUUAUUUUAUAUAACUUAAGGGAAAGCUUCCUCUUUGCCCUCUGAAGGAUCACUGAAAAAACAACUGAAGAAAGGCAGAUUAAUUGGAGACAAGGCAUAUAAAUUUAUUAACAUGCACGCGGGGGAGUACUGCAGAGUUACCCUAACCUCCCAGUGGGGUAUAGGAGCUUACAUACCAUCUUUUUUUUGUUGUUUUUUUGAGACAGGGUCUCACUCUGUCACCCAGGCUGGAGUGCAGUGAUGCAAUCUCGGCUCACUGCAACCUCCACCUCCUAGAUUCAAGCGAUCCUCCUGCCUCAGCCUCCUGAGUAGCUAGGACUACAGGUGUAUGCCACCAUGCCUGGCUACUUUUUGUAGUUUUUGGUAGAGAUAUGGGGUUUCACCAUGUUGGCCAGGCUGGUCUCAAACUCCUGACCUCAAGUGAUCCGCCCGCCUCCGCCUCCCAAAGUGCUGGGAUUACAGGCAUGAGCCACCAUUCUCGGCCCAUACCAUCUUGAGGUUACAAAAUGAAUGGGGACUCAGAGCAUGGCCAAAAACAGAUUAUAGUGGUAAGCAGGUUUUAGUGGCAAGACACCUUAUGGGAGGGGGAAAAGAUGAGGCCUGGCUAGCAUAAGUGGUCGUGUUAGGUAGAUGAAAUCUCACAGGUAGCAGCCGUCAGAAAGAAUUGAUGGUAAAUACUUCUUUUCGACCUUUAAAGGUGUCAGAGUCUCAGUUAAUUGUUCCUAAAUCUAAAGAAGAGAAGCCCCACAUCAGUGAAGAUUUUAUCCACUGAUGCAAAUCUCUCCCACCAAAGACAGCUUUGCAGGGCUACUUCUGUUUGCAAGGCCCUUUGAACAGCUGUCUCAAAAUAUGUCGAAGGAUAUUUUAAGGUGAAAUAUUUUUAUUUGUUUCACUAACGUGUAUAAAUACUUCAUUCCUUUUUUAUUGCCAAAUAAUAUGCACGGACAUAGGACAUUUUAUUUAUAAAGUCAUCGGUGCUGGGUAAGGUGUCAGAGCCCCGCAUCGAAUAGUGGUUGACUCGCCGCUCGCAAUGGCUCACGCCUGUAAUCCCAGCACUUUGGGAGGCCAAGGCAGGUGGAUCACCUGAGGUCAGGAGUUCCAGAGUUCCAGACCAGCCUGGCCAACAUGGUGAAAACCCGUCUCUACUAAAAAUACAAAAAUUAGCCAGGUGUGGUGGUGCGUGGCUGUAAUCCCAGCUACUCGGGAGGCGGAGACAGGAGAAUCACUUGAACCCGGGAGGUGGAGGUUGCAGUGGGCCGAGAUCGUGCCACUGCACUCCAGCCUGGGCCACAAGAGUGAAACUCAGUCUCAAAAAAAAAAAAAAAAAAAAGGGGGUUGACUCAUGGGUUGGUAGGAAGAAUUUACUGACAACAGUAUAGGUUUGAAAAAGGAAAGUUUUAUUAGAAAGAAAGAACGUGCCUUUCCAGCCCCCCACCCGGACCCUACAGCCACCGAGAUGUUGAUGCCUAAGAAGAACCGGAUUGCCAUUUAUGAACUCCUUUUUAAGGAGGGAGUCAUGGUGGCCAAGAAGGAUGUCCACAUGCCUAAGCACCUGGAGCUGGCAGACAAGAAUGUGCCCAACCUUCGUGUCAUGAAGGCCAUGCAGUCUCUCAAGUCCCGAGGCUACGUGAAGGAAGUUUGCCUGGAGACAUUUCUACUGGUACCUUACCAAUGAGGGUAUCCAGUAUCUCUGUGAUUACCUUCAUCUGCCCUCGGAGAUUGUGCCUGCCACCCUACACCGCAGCCGUCCAGAGACUGGCAGGCCUUGGCCUAAAGGUCUGGAGGGUGAGCAACCUGCAAGACUCACAAGAGGGGAAGCCAACAGAGAUACCUACAAACAGAGUGCUGUGCCCCCUGGUGCCAACAAGAAAGCUGAGGCUGGGGCUGGGUCAGCAAACAAAUUCCAGUUCAGAGAUGGAUUUUGUUGUGGACGUGGUCAGCCACCUCAGUAAAAUUGGAGAGGAUUAUUAUGCAAUGAAUAAACUUACAGUCAAAAAAAAAAAA